CCCAGACAGCCAGGAUGUUGGCUUAGAAGCAGCCAUCAUUUAAAGAAAGCGUAAUAGCUCACUGGUCGAGUCGGCCUGCGCGGAAGAUGUAACGGGGCUAAACCAUGCACCGAAGCUGCGGCAGCGAACGUAUCACUUAAAGCGAUUCAGCGGAUUACGAUUGACGGAGCGAAGCGACGUCAAAGCGUAUACAAAGUCGAGUCGGUUUAAGGAUACGUUCGUUGGGUAGGGGAGCGUUCUGUAAGCCUGUGAAGGUGGCCUGUGAGGGUUGCUGGAGGUAUCAGAAGUGCGAAUGCUGACAUAAGUAACGAUAAAGCGGGUGAAAAGCCCGCUCGCCGGAAGACCAAGGGUUCCUGUCCAACGUUAAUCGGGGCAGGGUGAGUCGACCCCUAAGGCGAGGCCGAAAGGCGUAGUCGAUGGGAAACAGGUUAAUAUUCCUGUACUUGGUGUUACUGCGAAGGGGGGACGGAGAAGGCUAUGUUGGCCGGGCGACGGUUGUCCCGGUUUAAGCGUGUAGGCUGGUUUUCCAGGCAAAUCCGGAAAAUCAAGGCUGAGGCGUGAUGACG
rnacentral:rRNA from 1 species